UGCAGUCGAACGAUGAAGCCCUUCGGGGUGGAUUAGUGGCGAACGGGUGAGUAACACGUGGGCAAUCUGCCCUUCACUCUGGGACAAGCCCUGGAAACGGGGUCUAAUACCGGAUAACACUUCCCUCCUCCUGGAGGGUGGUUAAAAGCUCCGGCGGUGAAGGAUGAGCCCGCGGCCUAUCAGCUUGUUGGUGAGGUAAUGGCUCACCAAGGCGACGACGGGUAGCCGGCCUGAGAGGGCGACCGGCCACACUGGGACUGAGACACGGCCCAGACUCCUACGGGAGGCAGCAGUGGGGAAUAUUGCACAAUGGGCGAAAGCCUGAUGCAGCGACGCCGCGUGAGGGAUGACGGCCUUCGGGUUGUAAACCUCUUUCAGCAGGGAAGAAGCGAAAGUGACGGUACCUGCAGAAGAAGCGCCGGCUAACUACGUGCCAGCAGCCGCGGUAAUACGUAGGGCGCAAGCGUUGUCCGGAAUUAUUGGGCGUAAAGAGCUCGUAGGCGGCUUGUCACGUCGGUUGUGAAAGCCCGGGGCUUAACCCCGGGUCUGCAGUCGAUACGGGCAGGCUAGAGUGUGGUAGGGGAGAUCGGAAUUCCUGGUGUAGCGGUGAAAUGCGCAGAUAUCAGGAGGAACACCGGUGG
rnacentral:rRNA from 1 species